rnacentral:rRNA from 1 species
UACGGAGGGUGCAAGCGUUAUCCGGAUUCACUGGGUUUAAAGGGUGCGUAGGCGGACAGGUAAGUCAGUGGUGAAAUCUCCGAGCUUAACUCGGAAACUGCCUUUGAUACUCUCUGUCUUGAAUAUGGUGGAGGUAAGCGGAAUAUGUCAUGUAGCGGUGAAAUGCUUAGAGAUGACAUAGAACACCUAAUUGCGAAGGCAGCUUACUACGCCUAUAUUGACGCUGAGGCACGAAAGCGUGGGGAUCAAACAGG